ACGAACGCUGGCGGCAUGCCUAACACAUGCCAGUCGAACGGGACCUUCGGGUCUAGUUGCGCACGGGUGCGUCACGCGUGGGAACCUGCCCUUAGGUUCGGAAUAACUCCCCGAAAGGGGUGCUAAUACCGGAUAAUGUCUUCGGACCAAAGAUUUAUCGCCUUUGGAUGGGCCCGCGUUGGAUUAGCUAGUUGGUAGGGUAAAAGCCUACCAAGGCGACGAUCCAUAGCUGGUCUGAGAGGAUGAUCAGCCACACUGGGACUGAGACACGGCCCAGACUCCUACGGGAGGCAGCAGUGGGGAAUAUUGGACAAUGGGCGAAAGACUGAUCCAGCAAUGCCGCGUGAGUGAUGAAGGCCUUAGGGUUGUAAAGCUCUUUUACCCGGGAUGAUAAUGACAGUACCGGGAGAAUAAGCUCCGGCUAACUACGUG
rnacentral:rRNA from 1 species